GACGAACGCUGGCGGCGUGCUUAACACAUGCAAGUCGAACGAUGAAGCUAGAGCUUGCUCUGGUGAAUUAGUGGCGAACGGGUGAGUAACACGUGAGUAACCUGCCCCGAACUCUGGGAUAACUGCUGGAAACGGUAGCUAAUACUGGAUACGACCUACGAAGGCAUCUUCUGUAGGUGGAAAGAAUUUCGGUUCGGGAUGGACUCGCGGCCUAUCAGCUUGUUGGUGAGGUAGUGGCUCACCAAGGCGACGACGGGUAGCCGGCCUGAGAGGGCGACCGGCCACACUGGGACUGAGACACGGCCCAGACUCCUACGGGAGGCAGCAGUGGGGAAUAUUGCGCAAUGGGCGAAAGCCUGACGCAGCAACGCCGCGUGCGGGAUGACGGCCUUCGGGUUGUAAACCGCUUUCAGCAGGGAAGAAGCCGCAAGGUGACGGUACCUGCAGAAGAAGCACCGGCUAACUACGUGCCAGCAGCCGCCGUAA
rnacentral:rRNA from 1 species